UACGGAGGGGGCUAGCGUUGUUCGGAAUUACUGGGCGUAAAGCGUACGUAGGCGGCUUUGUAAGUUAUAGGUGAAAGCCCGGGGCUCAACUCCGGAAUUGCCUUUAAGACUGCAUCGCUUGAAUCAUGGAGAGGUUAGUGGAAUUCCGAGUGUAGAGGUGAAAUUCGUAGAUAUUCGGAAGAACACCAGUGGCGAAGGCGACUAACUGGACAUGUAUUGACGCUGAGGUACGAAAGCGUGGGGAGCAAACAGG
rnacentral:rRNA from 1 species